rnacentral:rRNA from 1 species
GUCCUCUUGUUUUUCUGUGAGGUCGGGCCUGCCCGGUGAGUUGUUUAACGGCCGCGGUAUUUUGACCGUGCAAAGGUAGCAUAAUCAUUAGUCUUUUAAUAGUAGACUGGAAUGAAAGGUUUGACGAAAUAGUAGCUGUCUCAUUUAUAUAUAUUUGAAUUUAACUUUUGAGUUAAAAGGCUUAAAUUUUAUUGUAAGACGAGAAGACCCUAUAGAGCUUUAUUGAUAAAUACUUGUUUUUUUUGUUAAUUAUAUUGAUUUUUAUUUAUUAAUUUUGUUGGGGUGACAAGAAAUAUAAUUUCAACUUUUAUUAUUUUUAUAACAUUAAUUUAUGAAUAUUAGAUCCAUUAAUAGUGAUUGUUAGAAUAAGUUACCUUAGGGAUAACAGCGUAAUCCUCUUUGAGAGUUCAAAUUUACAAGAGGGCUUGCGACCUCGAUGUUGGAUUAAGAUAAUAGUUAGGUGCAGUAGCUUAAUUGAUGGGUCUGUUCGACCUUUAAAUUCUUACAUGAUCUGAGUUCAGACCGG